UACAGAGGGUGCGAGCGUUAAUCGGAAUUACUGGGCGUAAAGCGCGCUAGGCGGUUUUGUAAGUCGGGUGUGAAAUCCCCCAAGCUUAACUUGGGAACUGCAUUCGAGACUGCAUAGCUAGAGUAUGGGAGAGGGAAGUGGAAUUUCAGGUGUAGCGGUGAAAUGCGUAGAUAUCUGAAGGAACAUCAGUGGCGAAAGCGACUUCCUGGACCAAUACUGACGCUCAUGUGCGAAAGCGUGGGGAGCAAACAGG
rnacentral:rRNA from 1 species